rnacentral:lncRNA from 1 species
AAUCAAAUUAAGGGGCUAUUUUGUAGUGUAUAGAAAAUUUGUGAGGGUAUUGAUGAAAAUACAUUGGAGGGUAAAUUCGGUAUUUUAAAUUUGUUAUGCCUAAACACGACGGAAUGAUAGUUAUAAGGGCAUUUUUGAAAGUUUUUAUAUUUUUUGAGGGCAAAUAUGAAAUUUUCAAAUUUGAAAGGGUAUUUAUGAUAUUAGAGCUAUUUGGAAGGGUAGUGAGGAAAAUUUUCCUUUAUUUUUUACCUCCUCUUGCUUUUUGUUUAUUCUCUCUCUAUCUCUCUUGACAAGGGAUGGGUUCUUCACCAACCUCGCCUUUGGAAUGGGCGAAUUUCUUGCCGCAUCUUCUAUGAAUCUAUAUCCCUAACCCUAACUAUUGCUUUCGUACAGACAGAUUCCCACGCGAGCAGAGAGAGCGAGAGAAAGUGGGAGGAAAAUUUCAAAACUUUAGGGAGCAGAAAGUGCAGUGCUAGAAAUCCUAG